rnacentral:rRNA from 1 species
AGUCGAGCGGAUGACAGAGGAGCUUGCUCCUCUAGAUUCAGCGGCGGACGGGUGAGUAACACGUGGGCAACCUGCCCUGUAGAUUGGGAUAACUCCGGGAAACCGGGGCUAAUACCGAAUAAUCCUUCGGACCUCAUGGUCCGAUGUUGAAAGGCGGCAUCUCGCUGUCACUACAGGAUGGGCCCGCGGCGCAUUAGCUAGUUGGUGAGGUAACGGCUCACCAAGGCCACGAUGCGUAGCCGACCUGAGAGGGUGAUCGGCCACACUGGGACUGAGACACGGCCCAGACUCCUACGGGAGGCAGCAGUAGGGAAUCUUCCACAAUGGACGAAAGUCUGAUGGAGCAACGCCGCGUGAGUGAAGAAGGCCUUAGGGUUGUAAAGCUCUUUUACCCGGGAUGAUAAUGACAGUACCGGGAGAAUAAGCUCCGGCUAACUCCGUGCCAGCAGCCGCGGUAAUACAAGGGC